AGAAGAAGAAGAAGUAGAACUAGAAGAAGAAGAAGAAGUAGAAGAAGAAGAAGAGUGCAUGCGCAGUAGCAACAUUCAGUCUCUCCCGCUCAGCAGCCAGCGCACACGCCGGGUCACUGAGGGCGGCCUGCUGACUCCACUGCUGCGCCGUCUUGUUUAUUCUUUUGAAACAUAAUGAGGAGUGUGACACUGAUGAGACCUGGGCACAAGUAUCUGUCAGCGUGCUGACUGUUCUCCGUGAAGAUCUGCAACUCCUUCCAAAUCAGCUCCACCUUCACCCAAUGUCUACUGCCAUCAUUGUUGAAGGAGUUGUCACAGUCACAGCAGGCGGGGAGGCACAGGGGAUGAAAAUAUCAGCAAACCAAGGGUGAUUAUGCCGCCAGAAGCAGCCUCAAACACUGAAAAAGCUACCAGGAGACUCUCAACCAAGAGAGAGGGGAAACAGACAACCGAGCAUUGGGGCUUUGCACAGAAAGCAGCAAAAAAAACUAACCACAAAGAGAGAAGAUAAGGCGGAGUGGUUUCAGGAUUCACCGCUGCACAGUUGGUGCAUGAGCAUGGAGGCAGUGCUGUGUGAUCCCUGCAGCAGAGAGAGACAAGCAGCAAAUUAUCUCAAAGUCCCAGCAGCUGUGUGCUGUGAGGUUCCUCCAAGAGCAGACAUCCAUCUCACUUCAAUCGGCCCGUCCGCCUGUCCUCUCCCCUGCUCUCCGGUGACUGUUUCGCUCUCAGCCAAACCGCGCUGUGUUUCAGCAGAGGCCUGUGCAUGUACGUGUCUGAUCCCCUCAGAUUGUUUGAACCACCCAGCUCUUUGAGAAGACAGCCAAGCGCUCCGAAUGAGGAGAACGUCGCUCGCAUUAAACAAGGGAGUGAGUACACCUCCUGCAAAUUGGAGCUGGACCAUGGACAGCUCUGUUUGUUGGCUGUGGGAUGCACCGAACACAACGUGGAAAAACAAGAAAAUGAAAUAUCCAAGAUAGUUGGUUUGCUCAUAGUUCAACCGAUUGCAGAUGUGCAUUACCUUUUAGGUUGUUUACUUAGCUUUAAGUUCGCCAUAAAACGCAAUGGAAUAAGAAUGUGCCUGAAGGAGAUGUGGGGUUCAAACAACAACAUUCUGAGGUGGUGGGUGACCAACUCUACACCCUGAGCCACAGCUUGGAUGUAGAGUAAGGUAGUGUGCACAGGAGCUGUUUAUUAUUUAUACAGAGGGGUGUUUCAAACAGGAAUUAGAGUGAAAAUAGUAAUAAUGCAGCAUGGAAACAUGAGAAAUGUUACAGAUGAGAAAAGAGUAAACACAAGAUAAAAUAAAACCUUAUUAAAUGGUUAAAUAAGAUCAAAUCUAGGUAAAAAAAUAAACAAAUAAAAAGGUGAAUUCAGACUCCAAGUUCAGAGAGAACACACCUAUAAACAUGUGCAUGUAAGUGGGAUUUUAAAGAGGAUAAGGAGUUUGACUUACAGAGAAGGCCCUGUCACCCUUGGUGCUCAGCUGCGACUCUUGAAUGGAAAGAACGGCCGUCACCGAGGACUUUAGGUGACUGAAAAGUAUUCAAGUGCAAGUCCAGAUAUUAUAUAUUCUCUCUUUGAGAAGAUUUAGUGGGAAGUCUGGCUCCUGCGUGAUAUCAUGAUGACAUCAUUCCAACAUGAUUCUAAAUAAUUUUGUAAUCUUUGUAUAUAACAUAUGAGCUUUAGGUU